GGAGCCAAGUGCUGGAAGGCUAGAGAAGGAAGCUGGGAGAUAAUGCCCAGUGUAAAAGGUGGACUAUGAAGACGGAAUAGAGUAAUAAAUAUGGAAGUGAGACACUCAGGGAGAAAAGAUUCUGGACAUGGGGCAGAACGCUCAAUGGAAGACAGAGAGAAAUGGGGCUAACAAACAAGAGUGAGGAAGACCACCACCUCAAGCCUACCAACUCUGAAGUGCCUGAUGCUCAAGAUACAUUCC
rnacentral:lncRNA from 1 species